rnacentral:rRNA from 1 species
GACGAACGCUGGCGGCGUGCUUAACACAUGCAAGUCGAACGGAAAGGCCCUGCUUUUGUGGGGUGCUCGAGUGGCGAACGGGUGAGUAACACGUGAGUAACCUGCCCUUGACUUUGGGAUAACUUCAGGAAGCUGGGGCUAAUACCGGAUAGGAGCUCCUGCUGCAUGGUGGGGGUUGGAAAGUUUCGGCGGUUGGGGAUGGACUCGCGGCUUAUCAGCUUGUUGGUGGGGUAGUGGCUUACCAAGGCUUUGACGGGUAGCCGGCCUGAGAGGGUGACCGGCCACAUUGGGACUGAGAUACGGCCCAGAGUCCUACGGGAGGCAGCAGUGGGGAAUAUUGCACAAUGGGCGGAAGCCUGAUGCAGCAACGCCGCGUGCGGGAUGACGGCCUUCGGGUUGUAAACCGCUUUCGCCUGUGACGAAGCGUGAGUGACGGUAAUGGGUAAAGAAGCACCGGCUAACUACGUG